GGCCCUAUGGGGCGCAGCAGGCGAGAAAACUUUGCAAUGUGCGAAAGCACGACAAGGUUAAUCCGAGUGAUUUCUGCUAAAGAAAUCUUUUGCAAGUCAUAAAACCACUGGUGAAUAAGGGGUGGGCAAGUUCUGGUGUCAGCCGCCGCGGUAAAACCAGCACCUCAAGCGGUCAGGAUGAUUAUUGGGCCUAAAGCAUCCGUAGCCGGCUCUGUAAGUUUUCGGUUAAAUCCAUGUGCUCAACGCAUGGGCUGCCGAAAAUACUGCGCAGCUAGGGAGUGGGAGAGGUAGACGGUACUCAGUAGGAAGGGGUAAAAUCCUUUGAUCUAUUGAUGACCACCUGUGGCGAAGGCGGUCUACCAGAACACGUUCGACGGUGAGGGACGAAAGCUGGGAGAGCAAACCGGAUUAGAUACCCGGGUAGUCCCAGCUGUAAACGAUGCAGACUCGAUGAUGCAUUGGCAUAAUAGCCAGUGCAGUGUCGCAGGGAAGCCGUUAAGUCUGCCGCCUGGGAAGUACGUACGCAAGUAUGAAACUUAAAGGAAUUGGCGGGGGAGCAC
rnacentral:rRNA from 1 species